GUCCACAGCUGCAGGUUCAGUUUCCUGACCAUAUUUGAGCUGGAUGAUGUCUGGGUUCAGUUGUUUUUUUCCCCAAAAUGGUGUCAAGCAGUGAUGCUGAAA